rnacentral:rRNA from 1 species
UGGGGAAUAUUGCACAAUGGGCGCAAGCCUGAUGCAGCAACGCCGCGUGAGGGAUGACGGCCUUCGGGUUGUAAACCUCUUUUAGCAGGGAAGAAGCGAAAGUGACGGUACCUGCAGAAAAAGCACCGGCUAACUACGUGCCAGCAGCCGCGGUAAUACGUAGGGUGCAAGCGUUGUCCGGAAUUAUUGGGCGUAAAGAGCUCGUAGGCGGUCUGUCGCGUCUGCUGUGAAAUCCCGAGGCUCAACCUCGGGCCUGCAGUGGGUACGGGCAGACUAGAGUGCGGUAGGGGAGAAUGGAACUCCUGGUGUAGCGGUGGAAUGCGCAGAUAUCAGGAAGAACACCGAUGGCGAAGGCAGUUCUCUGGGCCAUAACUGACGCUGAGGAGCGAAAGCGUGGGGAGCGAACAGGAUUAGAUACCCUGGUAGUCCACGCCGUAAACGUUGGGCGCUAGAUGUGGGGACCAUUCCACGGUUUCCGUGUCGCAGCUAACGCAUUAAGCGCCCCGCCUGGGGAGUACGG